rnacentral:misc_RNA from 1 species
AAGAAUUUUAGCAAUUCUGUAUCUCUAUGUUCCAUGGAUGCAACUAACACCCUGUUUUGAUGAAUUAAAAUAAUAAUAGCUUAAACUAUGAAAUAAUAAUGGCAAUUCAUAAAGUGAACACCCUUGCAUUACAGUUGGAACAAAGCUUAUGUGCUUGGCAUUUUCAGUUUAUCUUUGUACUUCUGCAUAGUUAUUGAGAAAGAGUUGAAUUGUCGCAAAUAAUGCCUUUGAUUACUGAAAAUUUUAUCAUCAUUCUCUUCCAA